rnacentral:lncRNA from 11 species
CAGUACCCAAAGCCCUACCAUCUGACUUACUGAAAAGCCGCUAGAAUAAUAGAAUAGUAGAGUUGGAAGAGACCUCAUGAGCCAUCCAGUCCAACCCCCUGCCAAGAAGCAGGAAAUUGCAUUCAAAGCACCCCCAACAGAUGGCCAUCCAGCCUCUGCUUAAAAGCCUCCAAAGAAGAAGCCUCCACCACAGUCCAGGGGAGAGAGUUCCACUGCCGAACAACCCUCACAGUGAGGAAAUUCUUCCUGAUGUUCAGGUGGAAUCUGAGCAGCUGGUGCUGCUCUGUGUGGCAAUUCUGUGCUUCGUUUUUUUGGAUUGGAAUCCCUCUCAUCAAUAUGGUUUGUUGGAGAAUGAUGUUGCUCCAGGAAAUGGCUCACCAAGG